ACCGCCCAUUUUGUUCUGCAGAGUCAUUGUACUCGGAUUAAAACAUUGUAGAGAAAAGGGUGUGGGAUGUUUUGACUCAAAAUGGCAAGUAGCCUUUUAGUAUCUAUAGUAUCUAUCAAUAUCAAUAUUUUAGUAUCUAUAGCCACUCUCUGGCAACCAUAAAGCAACACGGCAGUGACAGUGAAUUCAGCUAAUACGCACGAUUUCUUUAUGGAAAAAGUGAAUUUUUACUUAUGAAAUCUCAUUUUACUGAUCUACUGUCGUGUUCUAAUUAAAUUUAGGGAAGAUGUAUUUAGUUGUACAACAAAAUCAGAACAUCUAAGUACCCUGAUACCAGGAUACUCUGAAUUGUUUUGCUAAUGUCAGAUUACAAAUGCUGUAGGCCUAUGUAUUGAUUUGCACAAUCAUCAUUUUGCAUUUUAUGUAAAUUACUUUAAACCAGAGAAAAAUAAAUUGUCUUUAUACAUUGUAGAGAGAAAUGAAAAAUAUCACUAAAAAUGAAAAACAAGGAGAAGAGAUAGAGAACAGACUGGAAGAGUCACAAACAAGUGAAUCAAGAGAGUCACUGAAACGUAGACACAGCAGCAUGGAGAAUUUAAAACCGGAUCUCUCUGAUGAUCCAGUCAGACCUGCAGGGUCUCGUUCUCAUGUAUCAGAGACGCUUCAAGCAGUGAAAACACUACACAUUAAUUUUUAUCGCUGAUAUCUUCAACCAGAGGCUUCACAUCUCCAUGAACCUAAAAAAAGGGAAGAAUGGAAAUCUUCAAGCAGCUCAGACGAAACAGAGUUUCUUGCCAGAAUGGGUAAUAGUUGAAUUGACCUCUGUUUUCAUGUAAGUAAGUGCUUUGAAAGACCCAUCCUGCAUCGCCGAAAAUCAUGACUGAACCAUUCAAGACCCUCUGCAGUUUGCUUUCCGAGCUAAUGGUUCAGAGCAAUGCCUUUAUCUGCAUCACCUGCACUACUGGUUAGUCCUUGCACUACUGUUGUUUACAUGGUGAUAAAAUAACAAUUAAAUACAAUUAUAACAACUAAUGACAACUAUAGUAUUAUAACAACUGUACUUGGUCUCAGCAGACUAUCGUCUCAACCAAAACCAGUAUUAAUACCUGGUGUAAACAGUAUGGUCCACAAGACUAAAACGGCUACUUAGAGAUGAAGAGAGUAUUUAUGUUGCCACCACCGUCAAAAGAAAUUGAAUGUAUGCAUGAAUUCAAUUUCUUGAGUAUAAAGUCUAAACACAUUCUCUGAGCAUUACAAUUACACUAAAUAAUAUUUGUUCUGCUUAAGAUGACAGUGUUCUGGACUUUACUGACAUUUAUCAAUGUAGAGUCAUGCACAAGCGAAGUCGUUGUAGAAAUGCCUCUUAUUAGCUGGCUUAUUUGUUUCCUGUGUUUCAUGGUCAUCUGAUCCAUAGUGGCUCUGCUUUCUGUAGUAUAAAACUGUUUUACACCACUGAUUGGAGUCUAUCGCAUUUAAGUGUACAUGAUUUCAAACACAGCUUUCAAAAAAUUUUAAACUUUUGUAAGUGAAAAAGGUAAAAGGUUAUAGUAUUUUAUUUAAAUUUUAAUUUCACUGUAAAUGUUUCCCUACAUUUUUGUCCUGUGUAUCCUGACAGACAGUCCCAUCAAAAAAAGGUUCCAGUUCCCUUUCAUGUGUUUAUUUGAACUCAUACUGAAUAUCAUUUAACAUUAUUAUUAUUAUUAAGAGGGCAUUAUUACAAUUAUUUACU